rnacentral:rRNA from 1 species
AGAGUUUGAUCCUGGCUCAGAUUGAACGCUGGCGGCAGGCUUAACACAUGCAAGUCGAGCGGAAACGAGAAUAGCUUGCUAUUCGGCGUCGAGCGGCGGACGGGUGAGUAAUGCUUGGGAACAUGCCUUGAGGUGGGGGACAACAGUUGGAAACGACUGCUAAUACCGCAUAAUGUCUUCGGACCAAAGGAGGGGAUCUUCGGACCUUUCGCCUUUAGAGUGGCCCAAGUGAGAUUAGCUAGUUGGUGGGGUAAAGGCUCACCAAGGCGACGAUCUCUAGCUGGUUUGAGAGGAUGAUCAGCCACACUGGGACUGAGACACGGCCCAGACUCCUACGGGAGGCAGCAGUGGGGAAUAUUGCACAAUGGGGGAAACCCUGAUGCAGCCAUGCCGCGUGUGUGAAGAAGGCCUUCGGGUUGUAAAGCACUUUCAGUCGUGAGGAAAGGUUUGUAGCUAAUAUCUGCAAGCUGUGACGUUAGCGACAGAAGAAGCACCGGCUAACUCCGUGCCAGCAGCCGCGGUAAUACGGAGGGUGCGAGCGUUAAUCGGAAUUACUGGGCGUAAAGCGUGCGUA